CAUGNCGGGCGGGGAGACCGAACCAGGGGGUUCCCCUGUUCGGUCAGGGGCGGACGGGUGAGUAACACGUGGGCAACCUGCCCGCAAGNCCGGCCUAACUCCGGGAAACCGGAGCUAAUACCGGAUAACACCAAAGACCGCAUGGUCUUUGGUUGAAAGGCGGCUUCGGCUGUCACUUGCGGAUGGGCCCGCGGCGCAUUAGCUAGUUGGUGAGGUAACGGCUCACCAAGGCGACGAUGCGUAGCCGGCCUGAGAGGGUGACCGGCCACACUGGGACUGAGACACGGCCCAUAUUCCUACGGGAGGCAGCAGUAGGGAAUCUUCCGCAAUGGACGAAAGUCUGACGGAGCGACGCCGCGUGAGCGAAGAAGGCCUUCGGGUCUUAAAGGUCUGUUGUGAGGGACGAACGAGCGCCAUUUGAAUAAGGGGGCAAGGUUGAUACUCAAAGGAAUUUAACGGGGGCCCGCNCAAGCGGUGGAGCAUUUGGUUUAAUUUGAAGCAACGCGAAGAACCUUACCAGGUCUUGACAUCCCCUGCCAACCCAAGAGAUUGGGCGUUCCCCCUUCGGGGGGACAGGGUGACAGGUGGUGCAUGGUUGUCGUCAGCUCGUGUCGUGAGAUGUUGGGUUAAGUCCCGCAACGAGCGCAACCCUUGCCUCUAGUUGCCAGCAUUCAGUUGGGCACUCUAGAGGGACUGCCGGCUAAAAGUCGGAGGAAGGUGGGGAUGACGUCAAAUCAUCAUGCCCCUUAUGACCUGGGCUACACACGUGCUACAAUGGGCGGUACAAAGGGCUGCGAACCCGCGAGGGGGAGCGAAUCCCAAAAAGCCGCUCUCAGUUCGGAUUGCAGGCUGCAACUCGCCUGCAUGAAGCCGGAAUCGCUAGUAAUCGCGGAUCAGCAUGCCGCGGGGAAAACGUUCCCGGGCCUUNUUCACCCCGCCCGUCACA
rnacentral:rRNA from 1 species